AUGGGGAAUACAUGUUUCAAUGCCAAAAAGACCCAGAGUGAGGAACAGCAUGAGAAGAAUCAAGAUGCCGGCCCCUCUGAGGGUCAGAAUCAUAAUAAUUGCCAUCCUCACCAACCUCUAACGAUGCCACAACAAUGUAAAGAAGACCAAUCUGGCACCAAGACAGAGGUGUAUUAUGAAAAAGAUUUUCUUCCUUGGAAAUGGAACAUCACAGCCUUAAUUCAGAACAACCACAUGGAAUCAACUGUGCCUGUAAAUAGCACGGUGAUCCCAUUUCAGGCUGGGGUGGCGGGUGUGGAUAUACAUCCUCAUCUAGGCUUCAUCUCAAUAGGAUCAUCUCCAGACUGUGUUCAGGCAGCUCUACCUCAUACCGAUGGCUCUUCCUCACAGCAUUCACCUCAACACCAGCUUCUUCAAUGAUGGUAGGGUUUCCCAAUAGUGAGGGAACAAAAGCACAACCAUACCUUCAAUCAAGCAAGGUAUCUAGUUAUAUCUCAAACAGAAUGGAGGCACACAGAGCAGCAACAUUAGUAAAUAUAUUUAUAUUACAUAACGUACACAAGAAUCCCCAAGUGUAAAUUCACAGCCACCGAUAAAUGAAAUGAUACCAUGCAGAAAAGCACACCAUCAUUUUACGACUGAUCUAUCAUAGAUCUAAAACUGAGAUUAAACUGUGGUGGUGUUUCCCCAAAUGAGUCACUCUCAGUCAGAUACAGUGCCUUGCGAAAGUAUUCGGCCCCCUUGAACUUUGCGACCUUUUGCCACAUUUCAGGCUUCAAACAUAAAGAUAUAAAACUGUAUUUUUUUGUGAAGAAUCAACAACAAGUGGGACACAAACAUGAAGUGGAACGACAUUUAUUGGAUAUUUCAAACUUUUUUAACAAAUCAAAAACUGAAAAAUUGGGCAUCUUUAAAAUCUUUCUUCA
rnacentral:lncRNA from 13 species